AUCGAAUUACAGGUUAAAGAUGUCAUUGGUCAGAUGGUCAAGAAAAGUUCAUGGCCUUAAUUAUAGAUAGUGUUAAAGCACAAAUCAAAAAAUAUAUAUUUCCCCUUAUUUUCACAGAGGCCUUCCAGGAGUUGGAUAGAGAAGGCACUGGAACUGCUGAAAUGAAUAUCACAGAGUGGCUGUAUAUGACCAUGUGUGGUUGAAGUGUAUGGUGAUCUUGUAUGCUGUAGAAGAGGACACAUACACUCCCAUAGUAGAGGACAACCAUAGCCUCAAAGUGCCUCCAAAGCAUCUCAGUUAGUGCACCCAACUAAGGCUUGCAUCAUCUCAAACAACCCCAAAGAAACUACUACUCCCUACUUUUGAAUCU